rnacentral:rRNA from 1 species
GACGAACGCUGGCGGCGUGCUUAACACAUGCAAGUCGAACGGAAAGGCCCUGCUUUUGUGGGGUGCUCGAGUGGCGAACGGGUGAGUAACACGUGAGUAACCUGCCCUUGACUUUGGGAUAACUUCAGGAAACUGGGGCUAAUACCGGAUAGGAGCUCCUGCUGCAUGGUGGGGGUUGGAAAGUUUCGGCGGUUGGGGAUGGACUCGCGGCUUAUCAGCUUGUUGGUGGGGUAGUGGCUUACCAAGGCUUUGACGGGUAGCCGGCCUGAGAGGGUGACCGGCCACAUUGGGACUGAGAUACGGCCCAGACUCCUACGGGAGGCAGCAGUGGGGAAUAUUGCACAAUGGGCGGAAGCCUGAUGCAGCAACGCCGCGUGCGGGAUGACGGCCUUCGGGUUGUAAACCGCUUUCGCCUGUGACGAAGCGUGAGUGACAGUACCGGGAGAAUAAGCUCCGGCUAACUCCGUG